GGAUGAACGCUGGCGGCGUGCCUACUACAUGCAAGUCGAGCGAACGGACGAGAAGCUUGCUUCUCUGAUGUUAGCGGCGGACGGGUGAGUAACACGUGGAUAACCUACCUAUAAGACUGGGAUAACUUCGGGAAACCGUAGCUAAUACCGGACAAUAUUUUGAACCGCAUGGUUCAAAAGUGAAAGACGGUCUUGCUGUCACUUAUAGAUGGAUCCGCGCUGCAUUAGCUAGUUGGUAAGGUAACGGCUUACCAAGGCAACGAUGCAUAGCCGACCUGAGAGGGUGAUCGGCCACACUGGAACUGAGACACGGUCCAGACUCCUACGGGAGGCAGCAGUAGGGAAUCUUCCGCAAUGGGCGAAAGCCUGACGGAGCAACGCCGCGUGAGUGAUGAAGGUCUUCGGAUCGUAAAACUCUGUUAUUAGGGAAGAACAUAUGUGUAAGUAACUGUGCACAUCUUGACGGUACCUAAUCAGAAAGCCACGGCUAACUACGUG
rnacentral:rRNA from 1 species